GUCCAGGGAUGGGAAUCGAACCCACAGUGUUCCGCUUACCGGGCAGAUGCCAUGUCCAGUAGGCUACCCUGGA
rnacentral:tRNA from 1 species